AUACGGAGGAUGCAAGCGUUAUCCGGAUUUAUUGGGUUUAAAGGGUGCGUAGGCGGUUUGCUAAGCGGGAGGUGAAAUGCCGGCGCUCAACGUCGGAAGUGCCUCCCGAACUGGUGGACUUGAAUGACUCUGCCGUGGGAGGAAUGAGUAGUGUAGCGGAGAAAUGCUUAGAGAUUACACAGAACACCGAUUGCGAAGGCAUCUCACGAAGGGUUGAUUGACGCUGAGGCACGAAAGCGUGGGGAUCAAACAGGAUUAGAUACCCUGGUAGUCCACGCAGUAAACGAUGAUGGCUAACCGCUGGGCUUAUCAGUUCAGUGGCCAAGCGAAAGCGAUAAGCCAUCCACCUGGGGAGUACGACCGCAAGGUUGAAACUCAAAUGAAUGGGCGGGG
rnacentral:rRNA from 1 species